rnacentral:rRNA from 1 species
UUGUUUCUACGGGAGGCAGCAGUGAGGAAUAUUGGUCAAUGGCCGGAAGGCUGAACCAGCCAAGUCGCGUUAGGGACGACUGCCCUAUGGGUUGUAAACCUCUUUUAUAAGGGAAGAAUAGAUGCUACGUGUAGCAUGAUGCCUGUACCUUAUGAAUAAGCAUCGGCUAACUCCGUGCCAGCAGCCGCGGUAAUACGGAGGAUGCGAGCGUUAUCCUGAUUUAUUGGGUUUAAAGGGUGCGUAGGCGGUUUUUUAAGUUAGUGGUUAAACGUC